rnacentral:lncRNA from 1 species
GUGACUCCCACCCUCACAACCCUACUCUGACUUGGGCUGAGUCUGAGCUUCAGGACCCAUGUGCAGGCAGGCUCCUCACUAAACCCACCACCUGGACUGAGCCAGACUGUGUGAUCCCUGGGAGGAGGCCUGUGACCACCUGGUGUCAGGGUACCCUGGAGCCCCAAGAGCACCAGCUGGAUAAAGAGGGAAGCUCAGUGUCACAGAACAUUAAGGAAACCACUGGGGCCUGGGAACAAGACCAGGACCCAUAUCUCACACAAGCCAGAGCACAAUGCAGAGAACUGUCACUGUUAUUAUCAAAGUGCCACAGGCCGGUCAGGGCACAGUGACCCCCCUGGUGCUGGUGGUGACAG